GACGGCGCCUCUGCGCGUGCCUGGCGUGAGCGAGAGAGAGGCCGGGCUUUGCAUCUAAGGAUGAUUGAGUUCCCUCCUGCUGCGGCUGCAGCUCUAGCGCGCGUAGGUCGGGCUCUAGGACGCGGAGAGGAGGGCGAAGGAGGCGGACGCGCAGAAGGCCCCGGUGCUGCGCGUCGGCCGGUCCUGCCCCGGCGCCUGCUCCCCCGAGUCGGAGCGGGGGAAGCUAGACCUACAGCAGCAGCGAGCGACGACAGUGGCGGCGGCGACAGCAUACCCCAACAGCGACGACGGAUCUGAGCUGGCGGUGGCAGGGGUUCACGGCGUCGGAGAAGAGGGUUGCGGUUCGUUCGACCUCGUCCCUAACGGUUUGGUAUUACGAUAACCCUCAAUCGUAACGUCUAACCCGUGGGAGGCCCCUACUCCUGCUGUUAGUCCCGUAGGUACCAGCUCUCGAGCCGACGAACCUACUUCGCAAGACAAUGGCAAUCCGGUUUCCUACACGAAGUGAGAUAAGAACGACUUCGACCAAAUGGGAUUCACCUCAUGUUCUGGAUGCGUAGAAUGGUACCAACACAGCCCCGAUGAUAAAUGAAUACCGGUAGCGUCAGCGCGAGCAAACGCCGUAGUUACGUAUACCUCUAGGUACCACUUGGUCAACACCUACAACGACACCGGUACGUCUUACGACGAUGAGCCACGAACCUCGAAGAAGUUCUGUGGUACUCAUAACCUAAACUAACGGGAGUUUACGUUUUCUAAUUCUGGCUCUACUUCAUGGAAAGUUCGUCACAGCGACUCUUCUUAGUUUUAUAUUUCCUAGACUUCUGAUUCCACCUCUUUUUCCUGGUGGUCCAGUUCCGGGAACCGUCCCCAACCCCAAGUAAACCUCUGCUACACGAACCAAAGCGUCCAGCAUGACUAUUUCACCGACAGUUAAUCGACGGAACGCCGAGAAGAGGACAGCUCCCACUACACUGGACCCUGACGAUACCAGAAUGAGUUCUUCGGUUGUUGGAAUUGAUAGAUAGAUACUACAGUUAACUACGACAGUGACCACGAUUUUUACCACAACGACGUCGCCGGUCUACGGUACCUGGUUAUCACCACCAUAAGUCUAUAUUCAAAGUCAUCAGAUACGAGUAACUUAAAAGAAAACUUCGAUUUUAUAGUCAGAAGGUAAAACAUACACUCAGAUAAUCGAAUCUUGCACUAUUAAAUCCUCUAUUCAUUUUCGUAACUAUGAAUCUUUAUCACCCUUGUUACCAGGUUUGUACAGUCCCACAUAAUAGAGGUUUAAUUACUACCAUAUAAGAAUAAAGUUCGGAGUGAUUCUUCAACAAAGAAAUAUCUAUCUUUAUAAACUACCGUACCACUAAGGAGAGACGACAUCUAUAUAUAUAAUAGAAAAAACGCCCCGUUUGUUACGUUCUUAACAUCUAUAUAUAAUAGUCGUAUGAACUAUUAACGGUUCUAGUAGAUCCACCUAUAUAUUUAACAACAAACAGCCCUUAAAAGAAAACUCAAUAACCAACUGCGUGUGGAGGCCUUUACUGGAAUAAACGGAGAAAUAAACCUUUGAUUAGAGAGGUCCAAAGUCCGUGUAUAAUAUUGGUCCGAUGAGAGUCACGGAGGAAGACAAUUAUCCGUCGAUAUAGGUUCCAUGGAUACAUUUUUAAAGAACUUGUAAAACUAUAAACCCGGUUGUUGGAAUUGAUAGAUAGAUACUACAGUUAACUACGACAGUGACCACGAUUUUUACCACAACGACGUCGCCGGUCUACGGUACCUGGUUAUCACCACGAUAAGUCUAUAUUCAAAGUCAUCAGAUACGAGUAACUUAAAAGAAAACUUAGAUUUUAUAGUCAGAAGGUAAAACAUACAAUCAGAUAAUCGAAUCUUGCACUAUUAAAUCCUCUAUUCAUUUUCGUAACUAUGAAUCUUUAUCACCCUUGUUACCAGGUUUGUACAGUCCCACAUAAUAGAGGUUUAAUUACUACCAUAUAAGAAUAAAGUUCGGAGUGAUUCUUCAACAAAGAAAUAUCUAUCUUUAUAAACUACCGUACCACUAAGGAGAGACGACAUCUAUAUAUAAUAGAAAAAACGCCCCGUUUGUUAUGUUCUUAACAUCUAUAUAUAAUAGUCGUAUGAACUAUUAACGGUUCUAGUAGAUCCACCUAUAUAUUUAACAACAAACAGCCCUUAAAAGAAAACUCAAUAACCAACUGCGUGUGGAGGCCUUUACUGGAAUAAACGGAGAAAUAAACCUUUGAUUAGAGAGGUCCAAAGUCCGUGUAUAAUAUUGGUCCGAUGAGAGUCACGGAGGAAGACAAUUAUCCGUCGAUAUAGGUUCCAUGGAUACAUUUUUAAAGAACUUGUAAAACUAUAAACCCGAGUUCUAAAGAUAAAAGCCCUUGUCUGCUGAAGUAAUCAAUCAACCGGGUACAUACAGCACACAAAUAGAUUAUAAACCAGACAAUAAAAGUAGAAACCAAGGAUGAACUCUUUUUCCUCCUUUUGGAUGUCAAGUUUCGGAAAAUACUUUACCUACAGUGAAAUAAAAGGACAUCGCAUGAAGAAACAGUAGAUUAUAUACAGGGUGUACACUAAAUUUGUCACGGAUCCUAUACUAAGCCGGGUAUGUAGUGAAAGAAAGAAUUGGAUAUACUUCUUUCUUCUUUUGUACAUAGUCGUUUUAGACGAAAGACUAACUAAAUAAGUCCCACUUACGAAAGAAACAGGACAAGAACAGUACACUACGUAUACUUAUUUGUCUACAAAAUAUUGACUUACAAGUAAACGUAAAUACCAUUUUUUACGAGUAGACGUAAGUACAGUUAGAAUUACGUAUUACCAUUAUACCUUGGUCUGACAAGUAAAAAGAAAAAUAAUGAUGACAAGAAAAGAAGUAAACUUCUUCUACCAUGGAUUAGUUUGAUAAACACAAAAUAGCUAUAAAGAAAUGUGAUAAUUAUAACGUUUACCUAAAGCGAGGUAAUGGAGCGAUCGCGUGGUACAACUACGUGGUGGUACAGUUUAAUAGGAGACCCUCCACAUAGGUAUUGAUAGGAACGUUUGACUAAACCAGUACGACUUAAGACAUUUGACUAUUAUGCGUUUAUGUUUUAAAAGGAUUUUAUUAUUAUUUUAUAACUCUACAAAACUAUGUUAAAUUUUGAUGAUGGUUCCAGAAGCUUAUAAUGUUUAUGUAUCUAUAGGUAAAUAUCACACAUUAUGAUUACAUGAUGGUUUUAAACUAUACAUAUAUGAAUGACUUAAUCCACGAGAGAAUAUUCAAUGUUAUAAAAUAUAGGAUUAGGAGAUAUUACUCUAGGGUUGUAUGUCACUCAUGGUAAGAAGUUCAAUAAUCAUAAUGUAAGAAAAAAGACGUGAAAUCUAAGUAGACAAAAGAAUUGAUGAAUAUCACAGUAUCCUUGGAAAUAAAAACGACCGGACGUACUCUUCACUCUUAUAACUAAGAAGUAUUUCCAACACGAGGCGGAGAAGGAGCGAGUUGUUCUCCUCCACGUCGGUGGUUCGGUGCCACGACCACCACGCCACGUACCGCCGGAGUGGCCCACCCACUGCUGUGGUCUGUGGCCUUCAAAAGCACGUCGAUAUCUUAAUAAAUCUCACAAGAAGCUGAUUUUAGUCCGACGAGGACGGCACAGAUGGUCACUUUACGGAGGAAGGUACUAUUUCGUCGGAUGAGAAUCCAUAUCUAGAACCACAACUAAGACGGAGUGGAAAUGUCGGCCGUCACCAAGCCAAACGACGUCCAAAGGAGCCACAAGUCCUUGACACGUCUCGUACUCCUACUACAUCCGGCGACGCGGUGGAGAGAACAGUAGGACCAGUGACGGAUCGGUUAAAGAAACUAAGUCUCCGAACACGGUGAUGUCCGCAACGUACCGUUAGGCACGAAGACGCUCGUUGUUGUUUUUAUCCCGCUUUGUUUCGUUCGUUUUUUCUUCUUAACUCUACGAUGUAUGUUGGUUACCAUAGGAAAAUUGCGGCGGCGGCCCCCAGGAAGGCGGACUCGGUCCUAGAGAAGAUGGGACGUGGCGACGACACUUGAGUAGGUACGACUGUCAGCCGAGGUACGAUGUUGACGACGUCGGACGUCCUGGUUCGUUCUUUAGUCCUUACCAAUCGCUCGAUACGGAACUUCUCUCGGUUUUCCUUCUCUCUCCGCUCACAUGUACUGCACUUCUGCCGUUCCAUGGUGAAGGUACUGCUACAGUUGUAGCAGCACCAGAUAGAAGUGGCCGUGGCCGGGGCCCCCGCGGCAGUGUAGUCCCAAUGCCUCGUCAUUAACGUUUGUACCUCGGGGUUUAAUACUACCCAAUGUCUGAAACGAAUAUUCUGUUGUACUUGACUGUUGAAGUUAAUAUCGUAUAGACCAUAAAAGUAUAAUAGAAAACAGUACACAUCUUAUGUACCACACUAUCCCAGUCGCAAACAUACUUGAAAACCACCCAUUUCACAAGACAAAGAGUUCGUUCAAGUAGUAACUUGUGUUUUAAAACUAACACAAAAGGACUCAACACUCUGUACUUAGAUAAAAUUCCUACAACAACAUACUUAUGUAUAUGACUUGGACCUAAUGAUGACUGAAUUGUAAUGAACGAACUGG
rnacentral:rRNA from 1 species